UGCAGUCGACGAUGCUUUCGGGCAUAGUGGCGCACGGGUGCGUAACGCGUGGGAAUCUGCCCUUUGGUCUGGGAUAACUGUUGGAAACGACAGCUAAUACCGGAUGAUGACGUAAGUCCAAAGAUUUAUCGCCAGAGGAUGAGCCCGCGUCGGAUUAGCUAGUUGGUGGGGUAAAGGCCUACCAAGGCGACGAUCCGUAGCUGGUCUGAGAGGAUGAUCAGCCACACUGGGACUGAGACACGGCCCAGACUCCUACGGGAGGCAGCAGUGGGGAAUAUUGGACAAUGGGCGAAAGCCUGAUCCAGCAAUGCCGCGUGAGUGAUGAAGGCCUUAGGGUUGUAAAGCUCUUUUACCCGGGAUGAUAAUGACAGUACCGGGAGAAUAAGCUCCGGCUAACUCCGUGCCAGCAGCCGCGGUAAUACGGAGGGAGCUAGCGUUGUUCGGAAUUACUGGGCGUAAAGCGCACGUAGGCGGCUUUGUAAGUUAGAGGUGAAAGCCUGGAGCUCAACUCCAGAACUGCCUUUGAUACUGCAUGGCUUGAAUCCAGGAGAGGUGAGUGGAAUUCCGAGUGUAGAGGUGAAAUUCGUAGAUAUUCGGAAGAACACCAGUGGCGAAGGCGGCUCACUG
rnacentral:rRNA from 1 species